rnacentral:rRNA from 1 species
UACGUAGGGCGCAAGCGUUGUCCGGAAUUAUUGGGCGUAAAGAGCUCGUAGGCGGCCAGUUGCGUCUGCCGUGAAAUCCCGGGGCUCAACCCCGGGCGUGCAGUGGAUACGGGCUGGCUAGAGGCAGGCAGGGGAGAACGGAAUUCCCGGUGUAGCGGUGAAAUGCGCAGAUAUCGGGAGGAACACCGGUGGCGAAGGCGGUUCUCUGGGCCGAUAUUGACGCUGAGGAGCGAAAGCGUGGGGAGCGAACAGG